UACGUAGGGUGCAAGCGUUAAUCGGAAUUACUGGGCGUAAAGCGUGCGCAGGCGGUUGUGCAAGACAGAUGUGAAAUCCCCGGGCUCAACCUGGGAACUGCAUUUGUGACUGCACAGCUGGAGUGCGGCAGAGGGGGAUGGAAUUCCGCGUGUAGCAGUGAAAUGCGUAGAUAUGCGGAGGAACACCGAUGGCGAAGACAAUCCCCUGGGCCUGCACUGACGCUCAUGCACGAAAGCGUGGGGAGCAAACAGG
rnacentral:rRNA from 1 species